rnacentral:rRNA from 1 species
ACCGGCGCGACGGGUGAGUAACGCGUAUGACCAACCUACCUAUACGAAGGAGGGGAACUAACCGGCGAAGUCGGACUAAUACCGCAUAAAACAGGGGCACCGCAUGGUGAUAUUUGUUAAAGAAAUUCGCUGAUAGAUGGGCAUGCGUUCCAUUAGGUAGUUGGUGAGGUAACGGCUCACCAAGCCGACGAUGGAUAGGGGAACUGAGAGGUUGGUCCCCCACACUGGUACUGAGACACGGACCAGACUCCUACGGGAGGCAGCAGUGAGGAAUAUUGGUCAAUGGGCGGGAGCCUGAACCAGCCAAGUCGCGUGAAAGGAAGAAGGAUCUAUGGUUCGUAAACUUCUUUUGCAGGGGAAUAAAGUGCAGGACGUGUCCUGUUUUGUAUGUACCCUGAGAAUAAGGAUCGGCUAACUCCGUGCCAGCAGCAGC